UACGGAGGGUGCAAGCGUUGUCCGGAUUUAUUGGGUUUAAAGGGUGCGUAGGCGGCCCUGUAAGUCAGUGGUGAAAUACUGCAGCUUAACUGUAGCAUUGCCAUUGAUACUGUAGGGCUUGAGUACAGAUGAGGUAGGCGGAAUUGAUGGUGUAGCGGUGAAAUGCGUAGAUACCAUCAAGAACACCGAUUGCGAAGGCAGCUUACUAAGCUGUAACUGACGCUGAGGCACGAAAAGCGUGGGGAUCGAACAGG
rnacentral:rRNA from 1 species